AUUUCCCUGCCGUGCUCGUGAUGCACGAUGAAGUUCUUGAACCAUCAAAUACGUUCAAAGGGACUGUCGGUGGCUGGCGACGUCGCACCCCGGGCCACAAGGUCUGGCGGAGGACUCACCCGGUCGAAGGCGGACCCACCUGGUUCUUCCAGGUCUCAAGAACUCUCCUGCACACGGUAUUUCGGCGGGGAUUUU
rnacentral:other from 1 species